GAAAACUUGGAAACUACCAUUAGAUCGAGAAAUGGAUGUCCGAUAUUCGUCCACAUCACCAUGAGUUAAAAUUUAACUCGGAGUGACUCUACGAGUUAAAUUUUAACUCAUGGUGACGUGGAUAAAUCUCGGACGUCCAUUUCUUGAUCCAACGGUAGUUUCUAAGUUUCC
rnacentral:pre_miRNA from 2 species